rnacentral:rRNA from 1 species
GACGAACGCUGGCGGCGUGCUUAACACAUGCAAGUCGAACGGAGUGGCGAACGGGUGAGUAACACGUGGGUGAUCUGCCUUGCACUUCGGGAUAAGCUUGGGAAACUGGUUCUAAUACCGGAUAGUGCAAGAUGAGCUCGCGGCCUAUCAGCUUGUUGGUGGGGUAAUGGCCUACCAAGGCGUCGACGGGUAGCCGGCCUGAGAGGGUGUACGGCGACAUUGGGACUAAGAUAGGGAGCAGACGCGGAUGGGGGGCAGCAGUGGGGAAUAUUGCACACUGGGCGGAAGCCUGAUGCGGAGACGCCGGGGGUGGGAUGAAGUCCUUCGGGUUGUAAACUCCUUUCGACAGAGACGCGGUACCUGUAUAAGAAGCACCGGCUAACUACGUGCCAGCAGCCGCGGUAAUAC